GUCUUCGUAGCUCAGUUGGAUAGAGCGUCCGCCUCCUAAGCGGAAGGCCAGCGGUUCGAAUCCGCUCGAGGACACCA
rnacentral:tRNA from 1 species